UACGUAGGGUGCGAGCGUUAAUCGGAAUUACUGGGCGUAAAGCGUGCGCAGGCGGCUUUGCAAGACAGAUGUGAAAUCCCCGGGCUCAACCUGGGAACUGCAUUUGUGACUGCAAGGCUGGAGUGCGGCAGAGGGGGAUGGAAUUCCGCGUGUAGCAGUGAAAUGCGUAGAUAUGCGGAGGAACACCGAUGGCGAAGGCAGCCCCCUGGGUCGACACUGACGCUCAGGCACGAAAGCGUGGGGAGCAAACAGG
rnacentral:rRNA from 1 species